rnacentral:rRNA from 1 species
GACCCCGAAAGUGCUCCGCACUUCGACAGCG